GCAGGACCAGCCAAAAGAGUCCUUCGCUUCAUACAGGAUGGAAAUCAAACAUGAGCAAGCAGGAGGAGAAAGCAGACUUUAUUGAAGGUGGAGCAGGAAACCAUCAACAAAACAAAAUGGCAACCUACUGGAUGACAACUACCAAAAGUAAAGGGCAGCGACUAUAUUGGUGGUAAGCAAGAUCAGAAUCAAGGAAAAAAAGAAAAGAAACUGCUGAAGUAAUUUGAGAAAAAGAAGGAAUCCCACUCCUGUCUGCCAAGGAAAGAAGAUGGUAUUUGGCCUCCUACCAUUAACAACCAAGAAGCAGGGGGAAAAGACAUUUGAAGCAACAAUUUUCCUUCACUUAGACAAUAAGCAGAGGAAGCUGGUGAUCCUUGAGAGAUGGAAACCAAUGCUGUGAAUCCCACUAUGCCUCUGGCUAUCUCCUAAGAUUGGUUUCCAGACAACAAUGGAGGAAAGUGAGAUCCAAACAGCGCCAUUGUCUCAUUAAGUUGAAGAGUCAGAGAUAGGAAUUCAAGGAGGCAAAGACAGUUAAAUUUUGUAAAUCAGACUACUGGAGAGA